rnacentral:tRNA from 1 species
GGCUCAGCGGUUAAGAGCACUGGCCACUCUUCCAGAGGACCUGGGUUCAAUUCCCAG